rnacentral:rRNA from 1 species
GACGAACGCUGGCGGCGUGCUUAACACAUGCAAGUCGAACGGAAAGGCCCUGCUUUUGUGGGGUGCUCGAGUGGCGAACGGGUGAGUAACACGUGAGUAACCUGCCCUUGACUUUGGGAUAACUUCAGGAAACUGGGGCUAAUACCGGAUAGGAGCUCCUGCUGCAUGGUGGGGGUUGGAAAGUUUCGGCGGUUGGGGAUGGACUCGCGGCUUAUCAGCUUGUUGGUGGGGUAGUGGCUUACCAAGGCUUUGACGGGUAGCCGGCCUGAGAGGGUGACCGGCCACAUUGGGACUGAGAUACGGCCCGGCCUCCUACGGGAGGCAGCAGUGGGGAAUAUUGCACAAUGGGCGGAGGCCUGAUGCAGCAACGCCGCGUGCGGGAUGACGGCCUUCGGGUUGUAAACCGCUUUCGCCUGGGACGAAGCGUGAGUGACGGUAAUGGGUAAAGAAGCACCGGCUAACUACGUG